rnacentral:rRNA from 1 species
GAGGAAAGCGGGGGGCGUGCCUAAUACAUGCAAGUCGAGCGAACAGAUGAGGAGCUUGCUCCUCUGACGUUAGCGGCGGACGGGUGAGUAACACGUGGAUAACCUACCUAUAAGACUGGGAUAACUUCGGGAAACCGGAGCUAAUACCGGAUAAUAUAUUGAACCGCAUGGUUCAAUAGUGAAAGACGGUUUUGCUGUCACUUAUAGAUGGAUCCGCGCCGCAUGGCUAGUUGGUAAGGUAACGGCUUACCAAGGCAACGAUGCGUAGCCGACCUGAGAGGGUGAUCGGCCACACUGGAACUGAGACACGGUCCAGACUCCUACGGGAGGCAGCAGUAGGGAAUCUUCCGCAAUGGGCGAAAGCCUGACGGAGCAACGCCGCGUGAGUGAUGAAGGUCUUCGGAUCGUAAAACUCUGUUAUUAGGGAAGAACAAAUGUGUAAGUAACUAUGCACGUCUUGACGGUACCUAAUCAGAAAGCCACGGCUAACUACGUG